GGAAAGGCUUACGGUGGAUACUUAGGCACCCAAAGACAAGGAAAGGCGUAAUAAACAACAAAAUGCUCAAGGAGUUGAAAAUAAGAGUAGAUUCGGAGAUUUCCUGAGUAAGUCAAUCUUUCAAACUGCUACUCAAUCCAUGGUAGGCAAGAGACAACCUGGCAAACUAAAACAUCUUAGUAGCCAGAGGAAAAGAAACCAAAAGUGAUUCCCGUAGUAGUGGCGACCAAAAUGAGAGCAGCCUAAACCGUGAAAAUGGGGUUGUGGGAGAGCAAUACAAACGUCGUGCUGCUAGGCGAAGUGGUGGAGUGCUGCACCCUAGAUGGAGAGAGUCCAGUAGCCGAAAGUAUCACUAGCUUAUGCUAUGACCCGAGUAGCAUGGGACAUGUGGAAUCCUUUAUGAAUUAGCAAGAACCACCUUGCAAGGCUAAAUACUCCUGGGUGACCGAUAGUGAAGUAGUACCAUAAGGGAAGGGUAAAAAAAAACCCCCAUCGGGGAGUGAAAUAGAUCAUGAAACCGUAAUCUCCCAAGUAGUGGGAGGAGACCAAGGCUCUGACUAUGUGCCUAUUGAAAAAUGAGUCGAUAACUUAUAGGCAGUGGCUUGGUUAAAGGAACCCACUAGAGCCAUAGCAAAAGUGAUUUUUCAUAGGGCAAUUCUCACUGCUUAUGGACCCAAACCUAGGUGAUCUAUCCAUGACUAGGAUGAAGCUUGGGUGAAACUAAGUGGAGGUCUGACCUAACUGAUGUUGAAGAAUUAACGGAUGAGUUGUGGUUAGGGGUGAAAUGCCACUCGAACCCAGAGCUAGCUAGUUCUCCCCGAAAUGCGUUGAGGCACAACAGUUGAUCGGACAUCUAGGGGUAAGGCACUGUUUCGGUGCAAGCUGUGAGAGUGGUACCAAAUCGAGGUAAACUCUGAAUACUAGAUAUGACUUCAAAAUAACAGGGGUCAAGGUUGGUCAGUGCAAUGAUGAGAGAUACGCUUCUUCAUCAAGAGGGAAACAGCUCAGAUCACCAACUAAGGCCCCUAAAUGACCGCUCAGUGAUAAAAGAGGUAGGAAUGUAGAGAAAGCAGGAGGUUUUUCUAGAAGCAGCCACCCUUGAAAUAGUGCAUAAUAGCUCACUGAUCGAGUGCUCCUGCACCAAAGAUGAACAGAGCUAAAUGAUCUGCCGAAGCUAUGGGAUGUAAAACUGCAUUGACUGGGGAGUCUUCCGCUUAGAAGGAAGCACCCGCACGAGCAAUAGUAGAUGAAGUAGAAGCUAGAAUGUCAACUUGAGUAACAAAAACAUUGGUGAGAAUCCAAUGCUUAGAACACCUAAGGGUUCCUCUGCUAGGUUCAUCCAUGGAGGGUGAGUCAGAGCCUAAGAUCAUGCCGAAAGGCGAAGUCGAUGGACAACAGGUGAAUAUUUUUGUACUACCCCUUAUGGGUCUCAAAGGAUGGAGGAGGUUAGGUUAGCCAAAAGAUGGUUAUUGGUUCAAGGAUGCAAGGUACCCUGCUUUUUCAGGGUAAGAAAGGGUAAAGAAAAUACCCUAAGCCGAUGUUCGAGUACCAAGCGCCAUGCCAUUGAAGUAACCCAUGCCAUACUCCAAGGAAAAGCUCAAAUGACCUUUAACUAAAGCGUACCUAUACCCGAAACCGACACAAUUGGGUAGGCAGAGUAUACCUAGGGGUGCAAGAUAACUCUCUCUAAGGAACUUGGCAAAAUAGCCCCAUAACUUCGGGAGAAAAGGUGCCUUCUCAUAAAGGGGGUUGCAGUGACCAGGCUCGGGCAACUGUUUACCAAAAACAUAGGUCUCUGUAAAGUCGUACAACCAUAUAUUAGGGCUGACACCUACCAGUGCUUGAAGGUUGAGGAAUUUAGUGACCUGAUGAUAGGGGAGCUAGCGACUGAAGCCUAGGUGAACGGCGGCCAUAACUAUAACAAUCCUAACAUAGUGAAAUUUCUUGUUGCGUAACGAUCUGGGUACUGUCUUGGAUAGGGGCUUGAUGAAGCUUCACUAUUCCCUGGGUUUGGCUUUGGGCCUUUCCUACGUAGCUUAGGUGGAAGGCAAAGAAGGCCUUUUUCUUGGGGGGGGGGGGGAGCCAUCAGUGAGAUAGCACUCUAGAAUAGCUAGAAUCCUAACCUUGUGUUAGGACCUAUUGGCCAAGGGAUAGUCUCGGGUAGAUAGUUUCUAUGGGGUGCAUGCCUCCCAAAAGGUAAUGGAGGCAUGCAAAAGUUUCCUCAGGCCAGAAGGAGAUUGGCGCUCAAGUGCAAAGGUAGAAGGGAGCUUGACUGCCAGACCCACCGAUUCAGCAGGGACGAAAGUCGGCCUAGUGAUUUGACGAUGCCGAAUGGAAAGGCCGUUGCUCAGUGGAUAAAAGUUACUCUACAAAUAACAUGCUAAUCUUCCCCAAAAGCUCACAUCGACAGGAAGGUUUGGCACCUCGAUGUCGGCACUUCGCCGCCUACGGCUGUAGUAUGUUCCAAGGGUUGGGUUGGUCGCCCACUAAAGCAGUACGUAAGCUGAGUUUAAAACGUCGUUAGACAGUUCGAUCCAUAUCUGGUGUGGGCAUUAGAGCAUUGAGAGGACCUUUGCCUAGUACAAGAGGACCGAGAAGGAUGCACCUUUGGUGUACCAGCUAUCGUGCCCACAGUAAACACUUGGUAGCCAAGUACAGAGCGAAUAACUGCUGAAAGCAUUUAAGUAGUAAGCCCACCCCUAAGAUGAGUUCUCUCCUAUUCUAACUUCCCCAGAGCUUUCGGUAACAUAGCUAAGAUAACAACGGGUUUUCUGCCCCUGCGGGGGUGGAAUGAUAGAAGUUUUGAAAAUUCAAGAGAAGGUCAUGGCGAUACGAGCCAUUUAUCAUUACAAUAGGU
rnacentral:rRNA from 1 species